rnacentral:piRNA from 1 species
UGUUGGUAUUUCAUUAAGUGGAUCUUCCAGC